rnacentral:snRNA from 1 species
AUUUCUUUUAAAUACUGAGUGGAUAAAAAAAAAAUAAAAAAUCUGUUCUUAUCAGUUUAAUAUCUGAUACGUCCCCUAUCUGGGGACCAUAUAUUAAAUGGAUUUUUGGAACAGGGAGAUGGAAGAAGAGCUUGCUCUGUCCACUCCACGCAUUGACCUGGUAUUGCAGUACCUCCAGGACCGGUGCACUUCUC